UGUGCACCAUUUCUUGUGGGGGUGCAGAUUAAGCUUCACACUCUGCUUGGGCAGAGAAUAUAGAUUGCUUGUGGAUUAUCUGCAGCCCAUGGCUCCUGCAUGUAUUGCACUUAAAUGGUACUUUACAGCAGCAGGAGGAUGUAUUUUGAGGAAAAUCAUAAGAAAAAAGUGUAUGAGGAGUAAUGGCUCAACACGACAGCAAAUUACCCUGGGAGAUUGCACAAUUUCUGUCUGGAAAUUUUCAAGGGCAGAUUGGACAUAUCCAUGAUACCUGAUCUCAUGUUGGAGACUGAGCCCCUCCAAUGGGUACAGGUGGCACCUGAAGACUGCAGGUCAUCCUGCCAGAGGAGGUGAGUACCCUGAAGCUUUUGUGUUGCAGGUGGACAAUAGCACUUCCCUCUCCUUCCCAGUGAAAUAGCACAGAAAUGCCUCCUGUUGCCCAAAGAACAAACAAAUGUUCUUUUGCACAUUCUAUUCUUCUUUGUACUUGAAUUAAAAAUCAGUUGAAGUUGCUUGACUGUGAGCAGCUUCAAGACAAGAGCAUCUUGCUGGCUAUAAAACAGCAUGUGGAGCACUGUUGGAAAUCCCUCCACCCCACUGUGAGCCUUUCUGAGAAGCUCCUUUACUGGUUCCCUAUGUUAAGACUGCCAAUUAUUUUUCCAGUAAAGGCAAGUUUUAGUGUUACCUUCUGUAAAGGGAAGCCACAAGACUCCUGUCAAUGAGCCAUUGAGCAGGUUUUAUGCACCUUUUCUUUUCUGUCACUGUCAAUAGGAGCUGACUCCAGUAAUGGCCCAACUUGCUGUCAUUCAGACAUUACUGGCUGUGUCCCAGUCACUCUUGGUGAUUACUGAGGUGUCAUUCAGUUCCAAGGGAACCUGAGGCUCAUCUAUCACUUUGAUAUUUCUCUGCUAUUAUUAUUACACAGAUGACUCAUCGUGCAUUGUAACAAAGUCUUCCAAGACAGUUAAUGGGAACAAUAAGGACUAAAAGAUAUUGGCUGCUGCUCACUCAGUGGAAAAGUUUCAGUUUGUUGUUAUGUGGGGUAGGACACUGGGUUCUGGCUGGCCCCUGUUCCUUGUACCAAAGCCUAGCUAUUCAACCAGGAUAGACCAAUGCACUGGGUUUGGGAUGGAUCUCAAGAAAUCAUCAAGGAAUCUUGGUUACAACAAGACUUUGCCCCUGAUACACUUACACUUCCUAAAUCUUUUCCCUUGAAGCUAUUUCCUGAGCUUUCUAAUCACUAUACAUUUACAUACAGUCAUCCAUCUUCAGUCCUACCUUCUCCCAGCUAUGUUUGGAAAACUAGGGACCAUUAAACUAUUUAAACCAGUCUUUAAUACAGGAAUUGUUUGUUGGAUAUUGGAGCUUAUAUGAAGAGUCAUCUGUCUGGUAGCCCUAAAAAAUAGGGAAAUUCAGGUAUGUUCCUGUAUGAAGAAAUUCCUAUUGCUUAGUGUGUGGCUUCUGCUAACUACCUGGAUGUUGCAGAUUUCUUUUCUGAGGUUUUCUGUUCAGAAUAACAGUGACCUUUGGGUUUCCAACUAGUGCCAGGUAUAUAAAGUAUUUAUGCUAUGAUAUUCAACUUCAAGGGAAGUAAAACCAUGCUGAGGCUUGCUCUAAUCUAAUUCUCUCCCCAAAUCAAUUGAGCCAAUACAGCCACAAGAAAAUAUGGUGCGUAGAACUGUGGCAGAAUCUGUAUUAUCUCUGAGAUUCUAAACAAUUAAAUAUAUCAGUCAGGCUAUUGAAGAGCAUAUCCCUGAGGCACUCUAUCACUUUUUCUUGAUGUGAUGACUUUUACUUCAGGCUGAUGGUCAGGAAAUCUGAAGAGAUGAUGGCUGCAGUGGCUGCUUGUCUCUGUCUUUCAUUGGUCUUUCAGGAUGGCUGAACAAAGGCUUGUCACAAGGAAAAUGAAACUUUUCAAGAGUUCUUGUUAUUAGAAAAUGUGAGGAUAAAAUUAAACCUGAGACAGAAAAAAACCCCAAAGUCUUAACUGUCUGGAGCUGCAGCAACUUAAUUUUUCUCCAUAUUGCAUGUUGAAAAGUACCCAAAGAGUUAAUGUACCUUUUGCAAAGCAACUAUUACAGACAAAGUUUUAACAUUUUUCCUUAUUCAGUCUGCUAAAACAUUCAUCUGAAACUCAUUCUUUCAGCUUGUUAUAUCACCCUGCAUUGCAAUUUCUUCAUACAUUAUUUUCCUGCUAAUUUUGAUUGUCCCUCUUUACUGAAAUAUGAAAAAGACCUAUCAGCAGAAACAAUUAUUUCCCUCCAACUUCAGAACAUAAUUGUUAUUCUUUUGAUUUGUUUGGGUGCUAUGGAAACUCUUAAUAGACUUUUAAUUAAUAGCCAAGCUAGAUACAGCUGAAAAUAGUUUAACUGGCAUAUAUACCUUUAGGAUUUACAAACCACCACUAACCCACUUCAAACUGCGCUUGAGCAUGCUAAAGAUUAUGCAGAGUUAUUCAGAGAAAGGAAAGCUAAGAAGGGCAAAAGUUGCAGUCAUAUGCUUCUCGGGAACUUAUCAAACAGAAACAAAGUCUAUUUAAAAAAAGCCAAGGUUACUCCUUUGCCCAAGCUAAUCUGUUGUGCUCUGACAGAUCAAAAUUUGAGGGUACAAACACAGUUUUGGAAUAGAGAACUGCCGUGAGCCAUGAAUUUGCAAAAGUGUAGCUGGAAAAGAGGGGGAAGGUGAGCAGGCUGGGCUUAGCUUUCGAUGUGUGUUUUUAGACUCCCUUCUUUACCUUCAGUUUCUUCUUUAACACUGUAUCUGUAGCCCUGGAAUUUUUGCAUAAAGGACAUUGCUUCAAAGCUUUGCAUAAUUUACGUUCCUCUGCCUCUGAUCUUCCUGUUGGCUGCUUACAAAGAAAUCCCUAAUAAAUUAUCACUGGACUAACCAGGAAAAGGCGAGGAUGCCAACAAUAAAUUUUGACAUUUACAGUAUCUCCUAUAUUUCAUGCUUAUAUUCAGCGAUCUCAAAUAAUUUCAAACAUUUUUGUAUAGACCACCUACAAAAUUGUACCCACAAAGCAAUUUUGGGAAUACCAAUGCAUUCAGAAGCUGUCAACCUCUGUUCAGGACACUGGCUUAGCACUUCCAGAAAAAUUCAUCUGCAUAAGCCUGUUCCCUCCUGCCUUUUUAUUCCAGAAGCCAUCAGACACGGGUAAACAGCUAAAGGAAGGGCUGUCAUGUUUUGGCCACACCACAAGCGUUCAACCUGUUACAUGAUGGGCUUGAGUAGAGGUACCUGGCCAGUUUGAUGGAAAGAGCUUAGUCAGCUCAAUUUGAAGAGCAUCUGAUGGCUAAUGACAAUGAAAAUGU